GAGGGUAUAGCUCAGUGGUGCGGCACAUGCUUAGCAUGCAUGAGGUUCUGGGUUCAAUCCCUAGUACCCCUG
rnacentral:tRNA from 1 species